GUAUAGAGGUAACAGAGCAUCUUUUAAAUUUUUUAUGUUAAUUUGCUUGAAUUUUGUUUUACAAUAUUGUGAAGUCAGCCUAUUGAAAGAGCAUCUAAAAAAACCAGUCAAAAUAAAACAUAAAAAAUGACUUUGAAUGGCAUAGUAAGUAUCUACUAUUGCAUGCUUAAAAUUCUCAAUUCUGAAUUGUGAAUAAAAAUAAUAGUAAAUAAACACAAAGAAACUAUGAUGAGGUUGUUUACUAAAUUUUACAAGGUAGUGUGGCUUCAUAGCUCAGUUGUUAGAGUAGUAAUCUUAAUAAUAAUAUUAUUUUUCUCAUUCUAAUUGUAAAUUGGAAAUUUGAACUAGGGGACCAAUGACAUACAGUGCAGUGUUAACUGACUUAACUACAACAUAUGGAUACAAACAUUGUCCUUAACCCGCUGAACUUUCAAUAUAAGGGUUAUUCGAGGAGCAAAGUGAUCAGAAACCAUUUAAAACCUGCUACUAGCCGGGUUUCAACUGGGGUCUUCAGCACAAGAAUAUUGACAUGAGAUAUUAUUCGAAUAGGAAGAAUCAUAAUAAUUAUAUGAUUCCUUCUUUUUGAAUAAAAGCUCAAUUGAUUUGCUUGUAUUUUGGUAGUUGCAUGGAAAUAUUGUUCCUUUUAUUAUAAAGGUAAUUUCCAUCAUUUUAAAUCGCAUUGUGGGUAAUUUUUACAUUGUAGAGUAUCAGCCUGUAAGUGUGCUUUUAUGUUAAUUUGCUUUUACAAUCAAUAAUCUUGCAUUAGGUAUUUAUGGUGAACAUAAUUUUCGACGCCAUGCCAGACCAUAAUAUAAAUAUACAAGUUUUCAAUAAAACAUUGCUCUAAUCUGGAAUACAGUCCACUCCACCUGAUUUUUUUUUACUAGAUUUAAGCAUAGGCAAGGUCCACCUGAGUAUUGACCUUCGACCUGAUGGUGAACAUACUCAAACUGAGGUUAAAAGAGAUGUGGGAUAGGUCUGUGAAACAAAAUUACAAGCCAUGGAAACGUGAGAACAGCUGCAUUGGUUUGUGGGACUGGGCCUGUAGCCAUUGUGUGAUGACAGGAUGUGUGGCCUGUAGAUCUGAAGAUUCUCUCCACAGCCAUGUAAUGCACAGUGACAGAUUCUCAGUACUGAACAUCAGUGAUGCAGACUGUGACCAUCAUCGGAAGAGCAGCAGUCCUGUAAUGAUCCAAAUGGGCAACACGUGGCUGGCCGGGGGUCAUGACCCCCAUUACAUAACUAAAAAGACAAAUUAAAUGAAGCUUAGUCACACACCGGGUUAGAAGCAAUGUUUACAAGGGCGCCCUCAGUCAUCAAAGUCUGUUACAGAAAAAAAGCAGCUGAAAAUUAGAAACAUUAAUUCAGCUCGUCCAUGACUAGAACAUGUUGCUA